UGUAAAGCAAUGAGAGGAAAUAGUAACAAGAAUGAUCCUUCUAAAGAGAGUCGAUGGUUGGUGCAAAUCGAUGAAGGCGACUUGUGAAUCCAUCCUUGAGCAAAGUACCGAAUGGAAUAAGAAUUGUGGCUAAUUUUCUUAGACUUAGCGUUUGCAUUUAUCUUAUUAGUAAGUACUUUCGGGUAAAACCGUUAUCGAUUAAGUGGAAGGUAUGAAUCUAUACUUUCAAGCUGGGUGGCAACGCGGGUAUCUCUCGUCCCUUUU
rnacentral:ncRNA from 1 species